rnacentral:lncRNA from 1 species
UUCCUUUUCUGUGACCAAAAAAUUAUAAAUCUCCUGAGAAGGUUGUAGUCCACCUUAAGCAUUUCGUAUUUGUCGCGAAACUCUUCAUGUUUGCGAAAAAUCUAAUUGUCUAAACCUCUUAAAUAUUCCUUUUUUCGUAAUUGGUGUUCUUAACUUCAAAGCCUAGCUUACUGCAAAGUCUCCGGAUAACAAUCCUUUCAGCAUCCUCUUUGUUACGAUUGGCAUUCGAAGAAAGUGAGUCCCAACAUGUAACGACUUCUAUGAUUCGGCUACACCUUGGAACUUCCAUGUCGACAUGAGAGCAAAAUCUCAACUCUGCAUCUAAUGUCGCAGAUAUUGUAGAGUAGACGACAGAACUUAAUGUCGACGAUAACAGGCGCCACCAUUGCUGUAGUUAAAUGGAAGGUGAGGAGAAAUAUGGUGCAUCACUCAAGGAAAAAGGGUGAGUGAAUGAAAAUUUCAAAGAUUGGGAUAAGAAUUUGGAAUCGAACAAUAUCAAUGUACUAUAAGGAAUAGUAUUUUUGCUAUUGUUUUUUAUUGUAGAGCAAAAUCACUACAACAGAAUUAGGUUAUAGCGACACAUGUUUGGGACACUUUUAUGUAAGUGUCCAAUUUAUGUCAAAUUUUUUAAAAAAAUCUACUAAUGCCUAAAUAAAAAGCCCAAUCCAAUCAAAAAUAAAAAGGUUACUCUACUCAACCCACCCCACCCAGCCCAUACGGCCCGAUUACAAACAGAAAAGAAAAAAAAAAGAAGAAAAAUCGAUUACCAUCUCCCCUUCUCCCCAUACUUAAUCCACUGAAAUCCUAGACGAAGAGCCCUUUCCUCUCCUCAUCCUCCGCCACCGCAGCCAACGAGGUAGAGUUCCGGCGGUUGCUAAAUGUUUAAAUAAGUGUUAGUAAAUUAGCAGCACUCUUUUUUGCUUAUAUCGACACUCUUUAACUGUCACUAUAUACCUAGCGACCCCACAAUAUAGCAACACUUUUUAAAAGUGUAGAUAAUUUAGCUAGCAGCAAUUUUUUUGACAUGUACCGACAUUUAAAAGUGUCGCUAUAGAUCGUUUUUGUUGUAGUUAAUCUAACAGCAACACUUUCAUGUUGAAGUGUAUUUAAGUUUUUCUUUACCUUAAUUUUUGCAAUA